AUGAACGCUGGCGGCGUGCCUAAUACAUGCAAGUCGAGCGAACAGACGAGGAGCUUGCUCCUCUGACGUUAGCGGCGGCCGGGUGAGUAACACGUGGAUAACCUACCUAUAAGGCUGGGAUAACUUCGGGAAACCGGAGCUAAUACCGGAUAAUAUAUUGAACCGCAUGUUUCAAUAGUGAAAGACGGUUUUGCUGUCACUUAUAUAUGGAUCCGCGCCGCAUUAGCUAGUUGGUAAUGUAACGGCUUACCAAGGCAACGAUGAGUAGCCAACCUGAGAGGGGGAUCGGCCACAAUGAAAGAGAGACACGGUCCAGAAUCCUAAAGGAGGCAGCAGUAGGGAAUCUUACGCAAUGGGCGAAGGCCUGACGGAGCAACGCCGGGUGAAUGAUGAAGGUCUUCGGAUCGGAAAACUCUGUUAGUAGGGAAGAACAAAUGUGUAAGUAACUAUGCACGUAUUGACGGUACCUAAUCAGAAAGCCACGGCUAACUACGUG
rnacentral:rRNA from 1 species